ACAAACAAACUAGGGUUUCUCUCAUCUCUCAUUUGGUCUGCCGCUCAUCCUCUCAUCCUCUGCUCUGCGAUGCGAUGGCGACUUCAUCAGGCCUCUCUCUCGGAUCUCGCUAGAUCUCUCACCAGAUCUGUGAGGAUUUCACCAGAUCGAUGAAGGGUUUUGCCAGACCUAAAUUAUACUCCCACAUCCCAGGAAGCGCCGACGUCAAGAAAUAGUCCGAUGAUAUUGAUGAUGGAUUGUUUUGAAGGCUAAACAACUCAAAAAGGCUGUUUAAUUUGGUUUUUUUGUCACCUGAAACCCUAAUUCAUUCAUUGGAGGAGACGGCAGGUGUUGUGUCUGAAGGUGGUAGGGGCCUGAGCAUUUGGGAUGUUUUCUGCCUCACAAAUCCAGGUUGAACUGCCCAAGAUAUUCAAAUUAUGUGGCUCUCUAGCCUCUCCCUCAGAUGUGUCUUUGCUCAAAUCUUGGUAUCACCAGUCAGAUGGUUAAAGCUACCCAAGAAUCCAUUCAAAACACUAAAGAAUUUGAUAUAAGGUGACUAAUGCGAUUGAGAUGUUGGUCCGUAUGUCACACAGAGUUUAAGUAGAGGAUCAGAUCCACCAUCCGAUGUGCCUAAAGAAGCUUCUAAAGUGAUAAAUCCUAGAAGAAGCUUAGAGGAAGGAAUAUCUGGUCAAUAAAGCUCUUUCUCAGAUUUUAUAGUUGUUUUUAGAGAGCUUGAAAAUAAAUGUGUUUUGUUUUCAUAUAGGAAAGAAAAUACCUGAAUCAAAGAAUUGUUUGAAAAUAUUGAAAAGUUGGGGUAAAGUUUGAUUCAAUUGAAAGGCCGAAUCUUGGAAUGGAGAAUCCUGAUGGGAAUUUGUAAACUUUGUAGGUAUUUUAACAAAAAAACCUUUUUUAAACUAACCCGACCCGAACCCAUUCCGACCCGCCACCCAACCCGACCCGAAUCAAAGAUUCGCUACUUUUUUUUGGAUGAAUCCAUGUCGGAUCUGUGUAAUACUUUCAGAAUGUUGAAUUUGAUUUAUAUGAAGGUGUUUUGUUGUUCGUUGUUUCUUCGAAUUUCCAUUUGUUGUUUGUUUUUUCUUCGAAGCUCCAUGUGCGGAUGUUAAGUUGACUGAACAAAAUAACGACUCAACAGUAAGAUUCUUGAGCAGAUCGGUUGCAACUGAGACGAGAUCCUUUAGCAGUACAUGGCGGUCAAGGUUGGUUCCAACAACCCGAUUCCGAUUUAGCGGCCGCAUGUAUAUUUUUCGAGAACAAAGGUACUUUUCGUUUUCUGAAUGAAACUGUGUUACACGUGGUGGUGUACUUGCAGCAGUGGUCUGCAAUCAAGGUCAUUGCACCCUAUGUUGUUAUCCAAUGGAAACCUUAUUGAGCAAGGAGACCUUGAGGUCGUGUACAUGCUUGGACCAAGUUUUAUUUGGAUGUUUGGAAUUCAUUUGCUUACUUUUAAGUCAAAACAUUGAUAACCAAUGUGUUCCAGGGAGUCAUGAAAGCGGCCGUGAACACUCGAAUUCCAACAUCCAAGAGCAGGAUAGGAGCUAACAUAAGCCAUCAGUGUCUGAGUUCACCAGUUUCGUCACUAGCGAGUACAUACGUCUAUUUCAUCACCAACGAGUAUGUGCAUCCAUUAUAUUGAACCUCUCAUGGAUUAUCUGUCUAGAUACAAAUGAGGUUCGUGUCGGGUGAUGGUGAAGAGCACAUCAGGGAAGAGCCUGAUGGUGAAGAGCAAAUGCUAUGUUUAUUCAGCUUCAUUUAGUUCUUGCGGUGAUUUUCAGCUAUCAUUUUCAUCAGAUUCAACAAUAUGAUUAGGCGCAAGCGAGGCGUGAUUUUUGUAUUAAAAAACGGCUUAAGGCGUAGUGGAGGCUGAUCGAUAGAUGCCCCUUGCCUUUGAUGAAAUUACCGGAAGAUAGGACUCGUGUACCAGAUUUUGGAUCCAGAACGAGCACUUUACUAGCUUUUGUAACAGUUGCAACAUCUGAUCUAUCUUUUGGAUCAUCCGCAAUGCCUUGAGAAGUCAGAAGUAGCUGGGAGAGUGGGUACAGGAUAACAUCUAUGGUUGCAACACCUGAUCAAGCAGCAUAUAGUUUGGUUAAAUUCUUUCUUAAAGCUAUGCAUUUUAUGUUUGCUGAUUGGUUUCCCGGACCAAUUCUUUAUCUCUGGUCUUUCUGAAGACGAGAUCAUACUCAAUCGUGUUUUAAAGCCGUGUACAAACGAAUUAUUAGGGUGUAUCACGGAAAACAACAUUUUAGGAUCAUUAUUGUUAAACUACUCUUACCUGGAUUCCAAGUGAGCUGAUUUAUUUUUUAUAGUUUUGUAGCUCUUUAUUAUAGGCUUUCACAUAGCGAAGUUUUACAGCGUGGUCUAGAUGAUGUAGGGGCUCACACAAUAUCAAGCGGAAACUAGAUUAUCGUAGGUGUCCUAAUUUUAUGUAAAGUUACUACGGUCAGAAGGAUAUAUCUGUUCUAUGAAUGACUAGCAUCUGAAUUGAGCCAUGGGUGCCGUGAGGUGAACCAAUAAAGUUUCCUUCCUUAAAUUGGUUGGUCAUUGCCGGUUCAAAUAGCCGAACGGAUCUGUAGUUGUGCAUGAAAAAUGGGUACUAUAACUUUCUUGAUUGUAUCUCUCAGCAAUUCUAACCGGGGUCAUCGGCAUUCACUGUGGUCAUGUCUUGAUCCACUUCAAGGGACAUGCUGAGAGGCUGAAGCAAUGGGUCACAAUGGGGGCGUCAAGGAGGUCUGUGGCGGCGCCGGCGACUUUCGGUUUGCCGAUUUUGUCCGAUUUUGUCUGAUUGGUUACUUGUGGCAGACUGCGCCGUCUCUGCCACCAGUUUGGCGCUUCUUAUGAGGUCACUGUUCGAUGAUUGGUCUGGGUUGUUGGUCUUUUUGUCGUCGCCACCAGUGACGGCGGAUGUGGCGGAGGUUUUGAUGCUGCUCAUCGGCUAUCUCUUCACAAGUCACGCCGGAGGAAUAAUCAGCUAAUGCACUUCAUUUCUUGUUUUACUCCCUGAUGUUAGCACUCGAAACUUGGUAAAUUCAAUCUUUGAUCAAAAAGUUCUUAUUUUGGAAUGAUUUUUUGUUUAAAAAAUGAGUUAGACAUGCUGUUUGAUGAUGUGGUAAGAAAAAUGAUAAUAAACUAUACUCAUAGCUGUAUGAAUAAUAAUAUGAAUU
rnacentral:lncRNA from 1 species